GGGWGAAGUCGUAACAAGGUAGCCGUAGGGGAACCUGCGGCUGGAUCACCUCCUUUCUAAGGAUAGCUUGUGGAUCACCCUCCGAACUUCGUGUUUGGACUGGUUNCCACGACUUCCAUAGACAUUGCCGCCGUCCUCAUGUCCCUUCUUCCUGAAGAUAAAGCGAUCCACGCUUCCGUGUGGAUUGCCUACUUGAGCCGGUUUCCCAGGCCGCAUGGCUGCAAAGCCGGCGAAGCCAAGGGGGCCAGUAGCUCAGGUGGUUAGAGCGCACGCCUGAUAAGCGUGAGGUCGUAGGUUCAACUCCCUACUCGGCCCACCAUGGCUUUCGGGGCCAUAGCUCAGUUGGGAGAGCGCUAGCUUUGCAAGCUUGAGGUCGUCGGUUCGAUCCCGACUGGCUCCACCAAUUUCUUCAGGAUGAAGUGAAAACUGAUCCGGCCUCGGCCGGUAGCGGCCAACGGGCCGCGCUUCUUUGACAUUGUGAAUGGGUUUUUGAAAUCGAUGCCGUAUUUUAGGGUGCAUCGGAAAACGCGAGUUUUCCUAUGCGUUCAACAAUAUCAGGCUGAGAUUAAUCCCUGCACGUCGACGACUGCGCAUUAGCGCUGGCGUUGAUGGUGUGGGCUCUCAAGUGUGAGGUAAGGGCGUUUGGUGAAUGCCUUGGCAUGCACAGGCGAUGAAGGACGUGCUAA
rnacentral:misc_RNA from 1 species